GAUGAACGCUGGCGGCGUGCCUAAUACAUGCAAGUCGAGCGAAUGGAUUAAGAGCUUGCUCUUAUGAAGUUAGCGGCGGACGGGCGAGUAACACGUGGGUAACCUGCCCAUAAGACUGGGAUAACUCCGGGAAACCGGGGCUAAUACCGGAUAACAUUUUGAACCGCAUGGUUCGAAAUUGAAAGGCGGCUUCGGCUGUCCCUUAUGGAUGGACCCGCGUCGCAUUAGCUAGUUGGUGAGGUAACGGCUCCCCAAGGCAACGAUGCGUAGCCGACGUGAGAGGGUGAUCGGCCACACUGGGACUGAGACACGGCCCAGACUCCUACGGGAGGCAGCAGUAGGGAAUCUUCCGCAAUGGACGAAAGUCUGACGGAGCAACGCCGCGUGAGUGAUGAAGGCUUUCGGGUCGUAAAACUCUGUUGUUAGGGAAGAACAAGUGCUAGUUGAAUAAGCUGGCACCUUGACGGUACCUAACCAGAAAGCCACGGCUAACUACGUGCCAGCAGCCGCGGUAA
rnacentral:rRNA from 1 species